AGUUAAUACUAGAAAGUAAAGUGUUUUGAAAACACCGAAAAGAGGUUUGAUUCCCCUAUUAACUU
rnacentral:tRNA from 1 species